CUUGACCUCGGAUCAGGUAGGGAUACCCGCUGAACUUAAGC
rnacentral:rRNA from 3 species